rnacentral:rRNA from 1 species
CAAUAGCGUAUAUUAAAGUUGUUGCGGUUAAAAAGCUCGUAGUUGGAUUUCUGCUGAGAACGACCGGUCCGCCCUCUGGGUGUGUAUCUGGCUCUUUCUUGGCAUCUUCUUGGUGAACGUUGCUGCACUUGACUGUGUGGAGCGCUACCCAGGACUUUUACUUUGAGGAAAUUAGAGUGUUUCAAGCAGGCAUACGCCUCGAAUACAUUAGCAUGGAAUAAUAAGAUAGGACCUCGGUUCUAUUUUGUUGGUUUCUAGAGCUGAGGUAAUGAUUAAUAGGGAUAGUUGGGGGCAUUCGUAUUUAACUGUCAGAGGUGAAAUUCUUGGAUUUGUUAAAGACGGACUACUGCGAANGNAUUUGCNAAGGAUGUUUNCAUUG